rnacentral:rRNA from 1 species
UCGGCUUAGAGUUUGAUCCUGGCUCAGAUUGAACGCUGGCGGCAGGCUUAACACAUGCAAGUCGAACGGUAGAGUAGCUUGCUACUUACGAGUGGCGGACGGGUGAGUAACGUAUGGGAAUUUACCGAAUGGAGGGGGACAACAGUUGGAAACGGCUGCUAAUACCGCAUAACGUCGAGAGACCAAAGGGUUUCGACUUGCCAUUUGAUGAGCCCAUAUGAGAUUAGCUAGUUGGUGUGGUAAUGGCUCACCAAGGCGACGAUCUCUAGCUGGUUUGAGAGGAUGACCAGCCACACUGGGACUGAGACACGGCCCAGACUCCUACGGGAGGCAGCAGUGGGGAAUAUUGCACAAUGGGGGGAACCCUGAUGCAGCCAUGCCGCGUGUAUGAAGAAGGCCUUAGGGUUGUAAAGUACUUUCGUGGAGGAGGAAGGGUUUACGUAAUCGUGGACAUUGACGUUACUCCAAGAAGAAGCACCGGCUAACUCCGUGCCAGCAGCUGCGGUAAUACGGAGGUGCGAGCGUUAAUCGGAUGACUGGGCGUAAAGGGCAUGUAGC